AGCGCCACCUGCUUCCUGCGGCAAGUGCAUGGCGGCUUCCUGUUUACAUUUUUGAACUCCGCAUGCUUUCAACUUCCAAGCUUGACGCUGUUGUUCAUGACAUUGUGAAAAAUAUAUGGAUAUAUAUGGGUGGUGAUGAUAUUUAGCAUCAUCCGGAAAGUCAAGCAUCGAUAUUUGGUCUACGACAAUUUGCCUACUGGUCAUCAAAGAUGCUGGAAUUUUUUCAAAACGCCAACUACACGUGCAAGCUUACUUUGAAGAUGUUCUGUGUGACUAUCCCAUAGCAUGAAUUCAUUAAAGUAGACUCCAAGCAUUCUGUGUUAGUAAUUUCUAUGGCAUUCCCUCCUAAGCUUGCAGAUAUUGAACAGCUGAUGGUGCGACAAGAAUCCCAGUAUCUUCCUUGCUGUACAUUUUGAAACAAUUCUUGAACAUACAAUUUCCGUCGUGAAGUGGUACAUCCUUUGGUCAUCCUACUGUGUUGCUCCUGAAAUGCCAAUAAAGAUUACA